AAAGAGGGUGAGAGUGUGUGGAAAUUUGAAUGUCUUGAUGAGGAGGUGGGUAAUCAUGUUUCCCACAACCUUAGUUUGCGUAUUUAAUUUUGGUGAUGCCUUCUAUAUAUUUGAAUGUUGUAGAUAUUUUCAGUCUCUGCAUCAUGAAUUUAGAUGUUGCUUAUUUGACUUGUUCUGACUUAUAUUUUACCCAAUUUCCUGCUCUCCCCUGCUCAGUCAUUGGCUUGGAUUAAUCAGAAGGAUUCUUGGCUGUUCUAAUAAGAUAUCUUCUGAUUUACAGGUCCUUGGUAUCGUCAAGAAGGGAAGAAGGGAGCAGGGUAAAAAAAUGGUUGGACAGCAACAAUAAGAAUAGUAGUUAUGGGAGGGCAGUUUUAAUGGAUAAGCAAGUGAAUAAUAUAGCUAAAGAUUGUGGCUCUUUUGCCUGUAUAACUUCAUCAGAUCCGCAUGAGGAUGUAUAUCUCUUCCAUUAGUUCAUGAUAUUGCAGCCAUCAUUCGGUCACAUUGUCCAAUGUGUACGGUUUUUAUUUUAAAUUUAAAAUCAACCAUACUUAGUGAAUGGUUUUUAUUUAUAUUUUGAUGAUAUGUAUUGGAUUCAAUGUUACAGUGAUUAACAUUACAUAUUUUAAUUAAUAUAUUGCCUUUUUGUAUCUUUA
rnacentral:lncRNA from 1 species